UACAGAGGUCUCAAGCGUUGUUCGGAAUUACUGGGCGUAAAGGGUGCGCAGGCCGCGCGGGCAGUCAAAUGUGUAAUUCAGGGGCUCAACCCCUGCACUGCGCUUGAUACUUCCGCGCUAGAACUUUUGGAGAGGAGUCUGGAAUUCUCGGUGUAGCAGUGAAAUGCGUGGAUAUCGAGAAGAACACUAAGGGCGUAAGCAAGACUCUGGACAAAUGUUGACGCUCAAGCACGAAGGCUAGGGUAGCGAACGGG
rnacentral:rRNA from 1 species